GUUGAUAUAUCUGAUGAUGGUAGUUCUUUUAAUGAUUAUUUUUUUAUUAUCCUCUCAGAGUUUCUUCAAAGUUGCAAAAAAUGUCAAAGAACUUGUUGCUCACAGGACUAGCAAACCAAAACUUGGCUUGCAAAGACGACCAUAUCUUCCAGAUUGUCAGCCGUGGCUGCCUUUACAGCGUAUGGUGGACAAGGAAGAGAACCACAGGAUCCGUCAACAAAAUAAAGUAGGGCGCCAUCACGAUCAUUGUGAGAUCCUGUUCUGCCUUGAGCGUUCACGUCAACACAGAGAGAUGAUUGCCCGAGAUGACUGCCCGAGAUGACUGCCCGAGAUGACUGCCUGAGAUGACUGCCUGAGAUGACUGCC